rnacentral:rRNA from 1 species
GCAUAAUAAUUUGUCCAUUAAUUAUGGACUUGCAUGAAAGGGGAAACGAAAUAAGAGCUGUCUCAAUAAAUUAUUUUACAAACUAUUCUUAAAGUGAAGAAACUUUAAUUUCAUUAUAGGACAAGAAGACCCUAUAGAGCUUAAUCAUAACAUUAUAUAUUAUAAUCUAGAUUCGGUUGGGGCGACCCAGGAAAAUUCAUCCUUCAAUCUUGAGACUUAUCUAUCAUUCACUUGAUCCAUUUACGAACAUAAAAUCAAGCUACCUUAGGGAUAACAGGCUAAUCCUUCUCUAAAGCUCGUAUUAACAGAAGGGA